ensembl:piRNA 21ur-1154 ncRNA
UGAUUGUGUUGUUCAUUGUGU